UCCUUAGAUGUUCUGGGCAGCACGCGCGCUACAAUGGUCUUCGCAAACGGAUGCAUUCUCGAAGGAGAAUGCCAAUCUUGGAAUCUAUGCCUUGGUCGGGACAGUUGCUUGCAAUUUUUCGACUCGAACCAGGAAUUCCUUGUAAUCGUGAUUCAUCACAUCACGAUGAAUACGUCCCUGCCCUUUGUACACACCGCCCGUCGCUCCUACCGAUCGAAGAGUUAGGUGAAUUGUUUUGAUCGAUAAGAUUUGACUAUGGUCAACUCUCGUUGUGAAAUUCUGUGAAUCUGACUGUUUAGAGGAAGGAAAAGUCGUAACA
rnacentral:rRNA from 1 species